rnacentral:rRNA from 1 species
AACUAAAUAUAGCUCAAAAAUUUAACCAUUUAAACUAUUUUAUAUAUAUUAAAACAAAACAUUUACCAUAACUAAAGUAUAGG